GGGUCAGUAGGUUGGUCGUGCCACCGGUACGUACUGGUCUCACUGAUUCCUCCUUCCUGAAGAACCGUAAUGCCCUUAAUUUGGUGUUGCGGGGAAACAGGACUGUUACUUUGAAAAAAUUAGAGUGUUUAAUGCAAGCUAACGCUUGAAUACAUUAGCAUGGAAUAAUGAAAUAGGACGAUCGAUCCUAUUUUGUUGGUUUCUAGGAUUGACGUA
rnacentral:rRNA from 1 species